UACGAACCGUCCAAACGUUACUCGGAAUUACUGGGCUUAAAGGGUGCGUAGGCCGCGCGGAGGGUGGGAUGUGAAAUCCCCCGGCUCAACCGGGGAAUAGCGUCCCAAACCGCCGUGCUCGAGGGAGACAGAGGUGAGCGGAACUGAUGGUGGAGCGGUGAAAUGCGUUGAUAUCAUCAGGAACACCAGUGGCGAAGGCGGCUCACUGGGUCUUUCCUAACGCUGAGGCACGAAAGCUAGGGGAGCGAACGGG
rnacentral:rRNA from 2 species